UACACUCCUGCGGGAGGCAGCAGUGGGGAAUUUUGGACAAUGGGCGAAAGCCUGAUCCAGCAAUGCCGCGUGUGUGAAGAAGGCCUUCGGGUUGUAAAGCACUUUUGUCCGGAAAGAAAUCCUUGGCUCUAAUACAGUCGGGGGAUGACGGUACCGGAAGAAUAAGCACCGGCUAACUACGUGCCAGCAGCCGCGGUAAUACGUAGGGUGCGAGCGUUAAUCGGAAUUACUGGGCGUAAAGCGUGCGCAGGCGGUUUGCUAAGACCGAUGUGAAAUCCCCGGGCUCAACCUGGGAACUGCAUUGGUGACUGGCAGGCUAGAGUAUGGAAGAGGGGGGUAGAAUUCCACGUGUAGCAGUGAAAUGCGUAGAGAUGUGGAGGAAUACCGAUGGCGAAGGCAGCCCCCUGGGCCAAUACUGACGCUCAUGCACGAAAGCGUGGGGAGCAAACAGGAUUAGAAACCCUAGUAGUCCCA
rnacentral:rRNA from 1 species